rnacentral:rRNA from 1 species
CAACAGGGAUUGCCCCAGUAACGGCGAGUGAAGCGGCAAGAGCUCAAAUGUGAAAGCUGGCUCCUUCGGGGUCCGCAUUGUAAUUUGCAGAGGAUGCUUCGGGAGCGGUCCCCAUCUAAGUGCCUGGAACGGGACGUCAUAGAGGGUGAGAAUCCCGUAUGGGAUGGGGUGUCCGCGCCCAUGUGAAGCUCCUUCGACGAGUCGAGUUGUUUGGGAAUGCAGCUCUAAAUGGGUGGUAAAUUUCAUCUUAAAGCUAAAUAUUGGCCGGAGACCGAUAGCGCACAAGUAGAGUGAUCGAAAGAUGAAAAGCACUUUGAAAAGAGAGUAAAAAGCACGUGAAAUUGUUGAAGGGAAGCGCUUGCGAUCAGACUCGCUCGCGGGGUACAGCCGGCAUGCGUGCCGGUGUACUUCCCCGCGGGCGGGCCAGCGUCGGUUUGGGCGGUCGGUCAAAGGCCCUCGGAAGGUAACGCCCCCUCGGGGGCGUCUUAUAGCCGAGGGUGCAAUGCGACCUGCCUGGACCGAGGAACGCGCUUCGGCUCGGACGCUGGCAUAAUGGUCGUAAGCGACCCGUCUUGAAACACGGACCCAGGAGUCUAACAUCUACGCGAGUGUUCGGGGUGUCAAACCCGUGCGCGCAGUGAAAGCG